rnacentral:rRNA from 2 species
GACGAACCGUGCAAACGUUAUUCGGAAUCACUGGGCUUAAAGGGCGCGUAGGCGGGCUCGCCAGUCAGGGGUGAAAGCCCACGGCUCAACCGUGGAAGUGCCUUUGAUACUGCGAGUCUCGAGGGAGGUAGGGGCGUGCGGAACUUCCGGUGGAGCGGUGAAAUGCGUAGAUAUCGGAAGGAACAUCGGUGGCGAAAGCGGCGCGCUGGACCUCUUCUGACGCUGAGGCGCGAAAGCCAGGGGAGCAAACGGG